ACAAGCGGUGGAGCACGUGGUUUAAUUCGAUGCUAACCGAAGAACCUUACCUAGGCUUGACAUCCUAAGGAUAAUUUUAGAGAUAAAGUAGUGCCGUUCUUUGAACGGAACUUAGAGACAGGUGCUGCAUGGCUGUCGUCAGCUCGUGCCGUGAGGUGUGGGUUAAGUCCCGCAACGAGCGCGACCCUAUUUUUAGUUGCCAUCAGGUUAAGCUGGGCACUCUAAAGAGACUGCCGUCGAUAAGGCGGAGGAAGGUGGGACGACGUCAAGUCAUCAUGGCCCUUAUGUCUAGGGCUACACACGUGCUACAAUGGGUUAUACAGAGGGCAGCUAGCUCGCGAGAGUCUGCGAAUCCCUUAAAAGUAAUCCUCAGUUCGGAUUGUAGUCUGCAACUCGACUACAUGAAGUUGGAAUCGCUAGUAAUCGCAGGUCAGCAAAACUGCGGUGAAUACGUUCCCGGGCCUU
rnacentral:rRNA from 1 species